CUGGAGUCGAGAGAGAGACGGUUGCAAGACAGCUGGUCAAGAUCUCCAAAUCAGACAUUGGCUUCAAGUCUACGGUCGAUCUCUUAAAUUGGACUCUGCAACACCAUCAAAGGCAGAAAAAUCUCCAUGUUAGAUGGAUUUCUUAGUGGUGGUCCUCCGAUGCCUAAGUCAAUCUGCCAUGAAAGCAAACAUAAGAGGUCUAAGCUUUGAAAAAGAAUUUUACAAUAAAAUCAAGUAUGAAGUGGAAGAAGUUGCCGUAUGAGAGUGGAGAGUGGUAGCUUAGAGGAUGCAUAUGGAAGACGGAGUUUAGAGAUGGAGUCAGAAUUGCUCAGAGCUUUAUAGAGAAGAUAGAUUCCAAUUGUAUGGGAUCUAUCUCAGAAAAAAGGUAGGUGGAGUAAGUGUUCACUUACUUUCUCUUACCUGAAAGAUCUUGAGGAGCUAAGUUUUAUAGACAAAGGUGGAUACCCAUCAUCUGAGGGAAUGCACGCCAUUUUUCUCUCUAGGGUUGUAGAGAUGUGAUGUGCUCUGAUUGUUAAAGGAUAACGGCUCAUAUGUUUUAGAGUUUGUUAAGAUUACGAAUCUCACUAAGUGAAGGAGGAAGUGGAAUAGCAGGAUGAUUGGCCGCUUGUCAUCUAGUGAGUAGAAGACGUUGGAACUCCUCCUGUACGAUCGUAAAAGACUAGAUGGCAAAGAUUGGGUGAUUGUUUCGUCACCUCCUAUCGAAAACAUGCAUUGGGCUACUAUUGGUUGCUAGUGCCAUAGUGGACAGGUCAUCUUUGAGUAUAUCAAUUGCCCCCUACUUUCAAGGCCGAGACAUCCUUUAGCUCGGAUGAAGGAAGUAGAAGGUGUUCUUGUGUUAACUGUGGUGUUGGUGGUCUGGACUGAUGCCAAAGCUUCCUGCAGACUUUCUAGUAUCGAUAGCGACAGUAGUCUUUGGAAUAUGACCACACUGAGAUAUGCCUUGAGUAACAUACCAGAUGAAGUAAGAAGUCCUAAUGUUAUACAUCCCUGUGAUCAUCCCUCAAAAGGUCACAACUUGGGC
rnacentral:lncRNA from 1 species